GCAAGUCGAGCGAGAAAUUACUUAAUGAAUCUUCGGAUGAUUUAAAUAAUGGAAAGCGGCGGACGGGUGAGUAACGCGUGGGUAACCUGCCCUAUGCAGGGGGAUAACACACUGAAAAGUGUGCUAAUACCGCAUAAGACCACAACAUCACAUGAUGUAGAGGUAAAAACUCCGGUGGCAUAGGAUGGACCCGCGUCUGAUUAGCUAGUAGGUAAGGUAAUGGCUUACCUAGGCAACGAUCAGUAGCCGACCUGAGAGGGUGAUC
rnacentral:rRNA from 1 species